GACCGUGAACUGAGGGGAAAUGUCUCCCCCUUCAGAUCCGGCAGCGGGAUUAUCCGCUCAUUACCGUAACAAGGAG
rfam:Pelobacter carbinolicus DSM 2380, complete genome.